rnacentral:rRNA from 1 species
CUACGGGGGGCUGCAGUGAGGAAUAUUGCACAAUGGGGGGAACCCUGAUGCAGCAACGCCGCGUGGAGGAUGACGCAUUUCGGUGUGUAAACUCCUUUUAUAUGUCAAGAAAAUGACGGUAGCAUAUGAAUAAGCACCGGCUAACUCCGUGCCAGCAGCCGCGGUAAUACGGAGGGUGCAAGCGUUACUCGGAAUCACUGGGCGUAAAGGACGCGUAGGCGGGUUGGAAGGUCAGGUGUGAAAUCCUACAGCUUAACUGUAGAACUGCACUUGAAACUUCUAAUCUAGAGUAUGGGAGGGGGAGAUGGAAUUAGUGGUGUAGGGGUAAGAUCCGUAGAUAUCACUAGGAAUACCUAAAGCGAAGGCGAUCUCCUGGAACAUUACUGACGCUAAGGCGUGAAAGCGUGGGGAGCAAACAGGAUUAGAUACCCGAGUAGUC